AUUGAACGCUGGCGGCAUGCUUUACACAUGCAAGUCGGACGAGUGGCGAACGGGUGAGCAAUAUAUUGGAACGUACCGUGUAAUGGGGGAUAACCAAUCGAAAGAUUGGCUAAUACCGCAUACUAUUCGUUCGGCCAAUGUUUGAUUAGCUAGUUGGUGGGGUAAAGGCAUACCAAGGCGACGAUCAGUAGCGGGUCGGAGAGGAUGAUCCGCCACACUGGGACUGAGACACGGACCAGAGUCCUACGGGAGGCAGCAGUGGGGAAUUUUGGGCAAUGGGCGCAAGCCUGAUCCAGCCAUGCCGCGUGUCUGAAGAAGGCUUUCGGGUUGUAAAGGACUUUUGUUAGGGAAGCGGUACCUAAAGAGUAAGCACCGGCUAACUACGUGCCAGCAGCCGCGGUAAUAC
rnacentral:rRNA from 1 species